GCUCGACCGUGAAGCAACGUCGCGGAAAUUGAUAUCAGCGUGUACUAACUGCUGUGUUAAUUGAAUGGAACGAGUUUCCGUGGAGCGACAACGAUAAAGGAAAACGCGAGGAGAGCUUCUCCUCCGGAGGAGUACGCGUUCCCUUCUCAUCGAAAAGGAUCGAAAGACGCGAAGAAAUGCGUGGACGUACGGUGGAGGCGAAGAAUAAUCGAUUUCGUUUUCUUAACGGUUCGAGAGAAUCGGCCAAUUAUCGGACCGUAAAUUGAUCGUUCCACGUUAAAGUAAGCGGAAUUCGGAACGAUGCAACGGCCGCAGAAGUGCAACGCGGAUAACCGUGAGCCGGUCGAUUAAUUAGUAUCGUAUCGCGACGCGAGUGGCACGCUUAAUUUCGCGCACGACCCACGCUGGGAAGUACUGGCGAGAAUCGGCCGGUCUCUGUGCGAAUCAAUUACCGAUUAUCCGUUUAGCAGACUCCGAUAAACCCCAGUGAGGUUUCAAGGAAUGUGAAACGUUGCUAAUGAAAUGCUUCCGAUACGUCCAAUACUUCUCGGUCUCUGGAUCGAGCAACAUUAAACGAGGAGGAUAAAAGCGACCGCUGAUAAGUAGAAUGAAUCGUAAGACGAAUAAAAAUGGAAAUGGGAUCGAUGGAAUGUACCGUAUCAUGUACUGCGAAUAGGUUCUAAUUUCGUUAGAAAAUCUCGAGCACACGUACGUGCUUCGACGAAAAUAAUGAUGCUUUUACACGUUUAAAAUAUCUUGUCGAACGAUACCCACCAAAUAUCGUACCCACCGCAAUCAUUUGGAAGAAUAUCCUACUUUCCUUAUAUGUAAGUACCUCAUAUGAGUGUUAGGUAUCCUGUAAGUGAAUUCCAUAUUAGCGCACAUUAUACCGAUAAUAAGUAUAAUAAAACUGCAACCAAAAAAGGUUUCAAAUUUUAUGGUCAAA